rnacentral:pre_miRNA from 1 species
CAUGUACUCCCUCCGUCCCAAAAUUCUUGUCUUAGAUUUAUCUAGAUACGGAUGUAUCUAAUACUAAAAUGUGACUUGAUACAUCCGUAUUUAGACAAAUCUAAGACAAGAAUUUUGGGACGGAGGGAGUAUGUG